GAAUAUUUGGAAAUACUUUCUGUUCUAGCGAUAAACUGCUUCGAAGCAUUGCUUACACCUGUAAUGUAAGGGCACCUCCUAGAGUUAGAGUACACCUUCAACAUUAUCUACUGUAAUGUUGAACUUUAGGUAUAGUAUAGUUUAGUCAGAUUUUGUUUAUCUUUUGAUAGUCAGCUGUGUAUAAAGCUGAACUAUGGAAUUGUACGGCAACCACUUUGGUGAUUAAUACAAAGUUUAAUUAC
rnacentral:lncRNA from 1 species